AACGAACGCUGGCGGCGUGGAUUAGGCAUGCAAGUCGAACGCGAAAGAGGGGGUAACUCCUCGAGUAGAGUGGCGAACGGGUGAGUAACACGUGAGAAACCUGCCUUCAGCAGGGGGAUAACACUCCCAACGGGGUGCUAAUACCGCAUGAGACCACGGAUUCGCAUGGAUCUGGGGUCAAAGGUGGCCUCUGUUGCAAGCUACCGGCUGAAGAUGGUCUCGCGUCCCAUUAGCUAGUUGGUGGGGUAAUGGCCCACCAAGGCGACGAUGGGUAGCUGGUCUGAGAGGAUGGUCAGCCACACUGGGACUGAGAUACGGCCCAGACUCCUACGGGAGGCAGCAUCGGGANAGGCUUUUGGCAAUGGGGAAACCCUCGACCAAGCGACGCCGCGGUGGGGGAGUGAAGGCCCGUUGGGUUGUU
rnacentral:rRNA from 1 species